CCUACGGGAUGCAGCAGUGGGGAAUAUUGGUCAAUGGCCGGAAGGCUGAACCAGCCAUGCCGCGUGAAGGUCAGUGCCCUAUGGGCGUUAAACUUCUUUUGUGCGGGAGCAAUAAUGGUCACGUGUGGCCAGACGAGAGUACCGUACGAAUAAGCAUCGGCUAACUCCGUGCCCGCAGCCGCGGUAAUACGGGGGAUGCAAGCGUUUUCCGGAUUUUUUGGGGUUAAAGGGUGCGUAGGCUGUGAGGUAAGUCAGCGGUGAAUUGCCCCCGCUCAACGGGGUGAAGUGCCAUUGAUACUGCCGUGCUGGAAUGCGGAUGCCGUGGGAGGAAUGUGUGGUGUAGCGGUGAAAUGCAUAGAUAUCACACAGAACACCGAUUGCGAAGGCAUCUCACGAAUCCGCGAUUGACGCUGAUGCACGAAAGCGUGGGUAUCAAACAGGAUUAGAUACCCGGGUAGUC
rnacentral:rRNA from 1 species